UACGAAGGGUGCAAGCGUUACUCGGAAUUACUGGGCGUAAAGCGUGCGUAGGUGGUGAGUUAAGUCUGAUGUGAGAUCCCCGGGCUCAACCUGGGAAUGGCAUUGGAUACUGGCUCGCUAGAGUGCGGUAGAGGGUGGUGGAAUUCCCGGUGUAGCAGUGAAAUGCGUAGAGAUCGGGAGGAACAUCUGUGGCGAAGGCGGCCACCUGGACCAACACUGACACUGAGGCACGAAAGCGUGGGGAGCAAACAGG
rnacentral:rRNA from 1 species